rnacentral:rRNA from 1 species
AUCCUGGCUCAGAGCGAACGUUAGCGGCGGGCCUAACACAUGCAAGUCGAACGCGAAAGGUCUUCGGACUGAGUAGAGUGGCGCACGGGUGAGUAACACGUAGGUAAUCUACCCUUUGGCGGGGGAUAACGUUCCGAAAGGAGCGCUAAUACCGCAUAAGACCACGGAGUCUCCGGACGCUGUGGGAAAAGGUGGCCUCUUCUUGAAAGCUACCACCGAAGGAUGAGCCUGCGUCCCAUCAGCUAGUUGGCAAGGUAAUGGCUUACCAAGGCGAAGACGGGUAGCUGGUUUGAGAGAAUGAUCAGCCACACUGGCACUGGAACACGGGCCAGACUCCUACGGGAGGCAGCAGUGAGGAAUAUUGGGCAAUGGGCGAAAGCCUGACCCAGCCACGCCGCGUGAGUGAUGAAGGCCCUCGGGUCGUAAAGCUCUGUGGAGAGGGACGAAAACCCUGGUUUCAAAUAGGCUCCAGGCUUGACGGUACCUCUUUAGCAAGCACCGGCUAACUCUGUG